CCAGAUUAGCCUCAUUCCCACUCACCUCUCGAUUGGAGCCUAGAGCAGUUCUCCACCCAGAUCCCGUCUCUCACCCGUUGUGGCAGCGACCGACAGCACUCGGCAAGUUACGGUGCUAGGUCAGUGCCUCCUUUCCUCUGUCUCCCCGGGACUUCCUUUCUCCCCUCGCCUUGAUCUCUUUUUUUUUGUAUUCAUGCGGUAAAGUAUGGCGACUGGUGGUGGGGAAAACGGCGAGGGCUACGCAUGCUGUUGUGGGAGCGGCGGCAGCACGGGCUGAUGGGCGAGCGGGGGGCAGGGGCGCAAGGCUGAUGGCUGAGCGGUGGGGCGUGCUAAUGGGCGGCCGGCGCCGUGGGCUGAUGUUCUGGGUAAAGGAGGCGAGAGAUCCACAUCUCUAGUUGAACAGCCGCCCGAGGAAAGGUCUUCUCCCUACCCAGCCAGAAGUUUGAUCCUUCCAAUCGAAGAGGUACCGUAUCAGGUAUCACCAUAAUCAAAUCCCAUCCAUCUGCUUUUUCUUAAUUCAGACAUGCUGGAGUACAUAUGUUUCCAUUCAUCUGGAUUUUCUACGAAUCAUUGUCAAAGCAGAUCCCAUCCACCGGUGAGAUGGCCAAAUUUUGGUAGUUGCACUUACGUACCACCUCUUUGGUUCCAUCGUACCAAUUACUCACCAGUAAUUUUGGAGUAGUACUUAUCUGCAAUCUAAGAUUUUUUUUUUGCGGGUAGAAAACUUGUAUUACUCAUGGCUCAUCAUACAGUCCUCCUUACAAAAAUCAACGACUUCUGGGGGGCCUGAACCCAUCCAGACUAAGGUUCUAUGUUCAGUUCUAGCAGAUUUUGCUAAAAAAUCACUAGCCACAUUUUGACUUCGACCAAUAUGAGUAACACAAGUCCGACGAAGAGACAUCAAAUGUUUGAUCUCUGCAACCAACAAAGCAUAAACAGACCUAUCUGUUCCUAUUCCAUUCACCAAGUUAACCGCUGACAGCGAAUCCAUCUCCAUGUGUAUUGGCAAGUCCGAUCUCUGGAUUGAAAUUGAUAAACCCUCCAUGACCGCACAUAGUUCAGAUUCUAGUGUGUCUCGACAUUGGAAGAGUUGGCGACAGGACGAGAAAAUGAUGUUGGCCAGAUGAUCUCUUAAUAACAUACCAGCUCUUGCACUUCCUUCCUCCGUCCAUGAUCCAUCCGUGUUUAGUUUCGCCCAGCCCGCCAAAGGAGGAGACCAUUUAACAGUGGGUGCCUUGCUGGAAAUAGCCUGAAACGGUACUGUUCUAGUACUCAAAGAGACCACUUCUUUACCUUUGCAUGAUCCAUGGGUCGUUCUCUGUAUUGAAAAAAUCAGAGAAUCCAAAUAUUCACAGAGAAAAUGGCGAGAGGCGGUCAUCGGGGCCGGAGUUUUGUUGUGCACCACCUCGUUCCUGUUAUGCCAGCAGCGCCACAGAGUCAACAGCAACUUUGCACGAUCCAUCUCCCCUAGUGGAUGUAGAGCAUCAAGCAGCCACUCAACACCAGUAUUCACUGUCACCUUUUGCUUGGGCAGUUGCCAAACUUCAGACAUGCAGUCCCAUAGUUGGGUAGCUAGUGGGCAUCGACAGAGAGCAUGGAAACAAUCUUCAGUUUCCCUAUCACACACUGGACACAUAUUCGACACCUCCAGAUUUCUCUUCUCCUUAUUCUUCCAUGUAGGCAAGGAGUUUACAGCAGCUCUCCAGGCAAAAAAAUUUAUAGACGGCGGGACAAAGCUCCCCCAUAUCAUCUUCCAACACGCUCGACGGCCAUCAGGAGCAGCGCUGGAAGCUUGUGCAUUUCCUCUAGUAACUGCAUCAAAGGCCAAGUCAUAAGCAGACUUUACUGAGAAAACGCCCAGCCUACCAGGUCCUAGUCUGAUUGAUUCUGAAUGUCAAAUCCUUGCUAGCUAGGAUGUCAAAUAUGUACGAUUCACACAACUAUGCUGGCAAAACUACUACAUAAGAAUAGUAGUACUAGUUUAGCUUCGUACAACUACUUGUUCCAAGACAUUCUAGUAUCUUGUGGGUGUGUUAUGUUUGCUGGCCCUGGUGCAUAUCUUUGGGUCGAGAAAUGUGUGUGUAGGUCAGGGGGAAAAGGCAUCAAUUGAGGCAAUGAACUGACACAUAUGACCCGUGGAAUGGUGUAUUUCCUAAUGGAUUGUUCUUUUCAAUUCUAUAUAUCUACAAUAAGAUCUUACCAUGAUAUUUUCUCAAAGUUGUGUCGAUUUAAUGGUACAUAUCCAGAUUUUUCUUUAACUGAUGGUAGAUUUGCCAUCUUAUCUUGUUCCUGAAUCAUGUUGUAUGUGUCGCCUUGGCAUUUUAGUUCUCCAUAUAAUGAUUUAUGAACACACAGGCAUUGAUGUGGAUUUUAGAUUUAUUUACUCUUUACUUUAAGUUGAUAAACCAUUCCUCUUGGUUACCUUGUAGAGUUGAUUACUAAAGCAAGUUAUCACAAAUAGCAGUGAAUUGUAUUCAAAGAUCUAGAAGUACUAGUCUGUAUAACCCUGUGCAUAAAAGGUGCAAAACAAUAGUCAUUUUAUUUUUGUUCAUUUUUACUUUUCAGUUUCCAUUUGCAAGACGUAUGGUUGGAAAAGGAUUGAAGUACUGGUGUAACACUAAUAAUUCUUACUAAGAUGUGAUUUCUAUGUCAAUGUGUAGAUGAUUCCUGAACAAUUUCUUAGGUAUUGGUAAGUCAUAUUGGAGAUAAAUUGAGUUGUGAUAAUGCUAUGAUACUAAUGAUGACAAUGGUACCUAUGGCAAUGUGGGAGAUUAUAUAUAUGGCGAUGGGCAUUACGAUCAAGACGACGAUAAUUGUGAUGAGUCCGAUGAUCUUCGAGUCCUGCAACCAAGUGAAGUUAUGAAGUUCAUGGACAAUUUAGCUUAUGCACAAUGUUUGGACCAUUAUAUCUUAGUCACUAUUUUGUUUUUCAUUUGACACUUCUUAGAUGCGUCAGUAUGGCCAAUGUAAUAUUGAUUCAACUCAUUAGACAUGUUAUACUUCUUGUUGUUAUGCUAAAUAAAAUAUAUUUUCUUUGAUCA